GGGCAAUAAUCUUGGUCUCUCUGAUUCUGUAUCACUUCCUUUCCCUUAGGGAGACUCCAGUAGCAGUGUCAGCAGUACUCCAAGCUCCUAUGCAAGGGCAACAACCCCAGAAGCAACCACUAGUGGAAACAGAAACCAGGCAUCUACAUCAUCAUCAUCAUCAUCCUCUGGCAGUGGUGGAAAUAAUGGUGGCGUCCAAGGGGUGAGUGAGUGAGUGUGUGUGUGUGUGUGUGUGUUGGGAAGGGCAGUUCAGGCUAUCUGGGUGUUGGAAUUAAAGACUAGGGGCUGGAACUAGAUUAAGGUUUAAGAUUGGGGUUCAAGAUCUGAUGCAGAGGACUCAGCCCCCAUUUGGCAUUCAGAUGGCUUGGGGUUGUGCCUGAAUUCCUGGGAUUUUAUGGCCUUGGUUUAUAGUGUCCACAUCCCACCGCUAAAACUUUGUUCUCUUUUCUCUUCCCAGUGCGAGAACCCAAGCGGUGGACAACAGGGAGGCAGCUCUCCCAACAGUGGGCAGCCUGGAUCAGGCUCUUCAAGUGGAUCUAACAACUGGGGAGGCAGCUCUUCCAACAGUGGGCAGCCUGGAUCAGGCUCUUCAAGUGGAUCUAACAACUGGGGAGGCAGCUCUUCCAGCAAUGGGCAGCCUGGAUCUGGCUCUGCAAAUGGAUAUAACUGGGGGACUAAUUCAGGGUUACCUUCAGCAGGAGGGAAUGGCGGUUCUGGAAUUAAUGGUGUG
ensembl:lncRNA